AUACAUAACUGGUUUCCACUGCAGCCUUAUGUUGAAAAAUUAAGGCAAUUGAAGGUUUUUGAUUGGAGGGAGGGGACAAGAUUGAGCUUGCUGACAUUUCUUUUGUUGCAAUGUUAUACAGGUCUCGAUUGACUGCAGAAAGGACAAGGGAGGAGCAUGUCAAAGGGAGGUCAGAUCCUGCCAGGGUUUCCUGGCAAAUGAGACACAUACAAUAUGGAACAUUGUUCCCCAAGGACCAGAUGGCUUGAAAUCCAUCAUUCAACCAGGGUAGAGUAGCACACUUGUUCUCUUAAAUCUGUUCUUUCUAAUAGUUACCAGUUACGGGUAUUAGGAAUUUUCUAUGCUGUUGGUGAUUUAUAACCCUUUCAUUCUCAUAUAACUGUUGUGGACAGCAAAAUCAAAGGUCUUGUUGGUGUUUGCCCAGGGCACCCACUUUGGUCAUAUGAGCUUGGGCAGAGUGCUGUACUAAUGUGGCUCUGUGGCUUUUGUCUUAAGCUGGAUUAAGUCCCAGUCAGCUUUAGGCACAAGCAGAGCAAGCCCAGGUCUGUCUGCACAUGUCUGGCUGGACACAUCCCACUUGGGUCAUGUGAAAACCCAAAUCAUCAGAGCCCUGGAGGGACCUUCUCGCCCUUGGCUGUGCCUGUGAACUGUGCAGCACUGGAUAUACAAAGUAAUCACAGGGAGCCUGAAAAUGCCUGUGAUGUGAAAUUGUAACAUUAAUAAAAACAAAGGAAUUGUUUGUGUUCA
rnacentral:lncRNA from 1 species